UACGGGGGGGGCAAGCGUUGUUCGGAAUUACUGGGCGUAAAGGGUUCGUAGGUGGCCAACUAAGUCAGCUGUGAAAUCCCUCGGCUCAACCGGGGAACUGCGUCUGAUACUGGUUGUCUUGAGUGCAGGAGAGGAACGCGGAAUUCCAGGUGUAGCGGUGAAAUGCGUAGAUAUCUGGAGGAACACCGGUGGCGAAGGCGGCGUUCUGGACUGCAACUGACACUGAGGAACGAAAGCGAGGGGAGCAAACGGG
rnacentral:rRNA from 1 species